rnacentral:lncRNA from 1 species
AAGGAAAAAUAAAAAAAGAACUAAAUGCAUUUAGAGGAAGGGAGGGGUCACUUCUGGCAUCUGAACUAGAUUUGGAAGGGUGGGUCCCAGUUGAAAAUACGGGAGAGGAGGUGGUGAGGCAGGCUGUGUGCUUGGAGAACCUGGGCCUUGUGGUCCUCUGUCGGGGGCAGUUCAGAGACAUCGCAGGGCAGCUCCUGUCCCACCAGCCUCCCUGUUCCUGCCCCACAGAAACAUUUCCCGUUUCCUCCAACAUGCCAUGCCCUUUUUUCUGUAUCCAGGUGUCCACCUAGAACACCUGUUUCAUCUGGUAGAAAUUCUACUCCUUCAGCCCCCCCACCCCCCUGUGGCGGUCACCUCUUCAGGGAAGCCUGCCACCCCAGGGCUGUUCCUGCCUGGCUUACUGCACCUCUUGCACAUGGUGUCAUUGCUUUCCUCUCUCUUUCUUAGGAAAACUAGUCUGCUGUCUUAACCCUCAGUGGAGCUUUUGAAAGUACAGAUUUUGAGGCAGAAGGUCCUGAGGCAGCAGGUCUGUGGGUAACUGAGAGGUGGCAGGGGAAGCCACCCCUUCAAGGGUGAGGCUAUGAUUUAUGUUUAUGUCCUGCCACCCAGAUAUACUUAGUAAAAGUUUGCUGAAUGAAAUAAACAUAUAACAAAGUAUCAAGUAUUGUAGCCAUUUGGUAAACCUGCCUGGAUACCAAAUUAAAAAGACCAUGGAGUUCCCAUCGUGGCGCAGUGGAAACAAAUCCAACUAGGAACCAUGAGGUUGCAGGUUUGGUCCCUGGCUUCACUCAGUGGGUUAAGGAUCCGUUGUUGCUGUGAGCUGUGCUGUAGGCGACAGAUGGGGCUUGGAUCCUGCGUUGCUGUGGCUGUGGUGCUAGGGGUCGAAUCGGAGCUGCAGCCACCGGCCUACGCCAGAGCCACAGCAACGCGGGAUCCGAGCCGCGUCUGCAACCUACACCACAGCUCACAGCAACGCCGGAUCGUUAACCCACUGAGCAAGGGCAGGGACCGAACCCGCAACCUCAUGUUUCCUCGUCGGAUUCGUUAACCACUGCGCCACAACGGGAACUCCCCUGUGUGAUAUUUUUAUUGACACUUGCUUGGUAGAGGCUUGAGUCCAAAGAGGCCUACUUUUUUUUUGGGCCCUUCCAGCAUGUGGAAGUUCCCAGGGUAGGGGUCAGAUUGGAGCCGCCGCUGCUGUCCUACACCACAGCCACAGCCACACUAGAUCCCGGCCACAUCUGUGACCUAUGCCGCAGCUUGUGGCAACGCUGGAUCCUUAACCCUCUGAGCAAGGCCACGGAUUGAACUCGAGUCCUCAUGGAUACUAGUUGGGUUCUUAACCUGCUGAACCACAACAGGAACUCCCUGGAGACAUUUUUGAUUGCCAGCUCUUGGGAGCUGCUACUGGCACCACAUGCAUGGAGGCAGGGAUGGCACUCGAUGGUGCAAAGGACAGGCAGCUGCCACGGGAGACCUCCUGGACAAGAUGUCAUUUGUGCGGAGGUUGAGAAAGCUUGCUCUGGGGGAUGAGGGAAUUGCUCAGUGUUUCUGCUCGGCGAAGUUAGGAACUUCAUCUUGCUGCCCCUCCCCUGAGCCCGUGACAGCUGUGUCCCCAACACCUGCAACGUGAUCUUUGUCACGGGGUCACGGCUCAGUACUAGUUGUGGAACCUCGUUGCCAGCAGUCCUCCCCUUUGGUGGGUGCUUUGCUGUUGCAGAUGGUACCGCCUUGAACCUCCCAGCAUACAUCUUUGUGCCUAUACCAGUCUUAGGGGAUCCGAGAAGCAGAAUUGCUGGGUCAAGAAGUACAGGCAUUUAAAAUUUCAGUAAAUG